UGCACCGUACUAAAAAAGUGUACUAAUGAAAUGCUAUGAUUCAAAUCAGCGAGCGUCAAGACUCCAUAAAAAACUGAAUAGCAGUUCCAUAUUUGCAGAAAAAUGCUGAAAAUGUCUUGCCCCUUAAGAAUUCCAGUCGGAAGGCACGGUCCUCAGGUGCCCAUACGCUAGUCUAAGCCUGAAAAUAAAUUAGAAUUGCAAAGAAUUAUUUUUUCAAUGCAAAAAAUGUGAACUUUGAAGAAGAAAGACCAUCUGACAAAAGGGUUAGAAGAACAACCAAUUCAAAUAUUCUCUUGAGGAUAAUCUCUGGUUAAGUAAAGUGCAGCAUUUUCCAAAGAGAGUAAUCCCCAAUGAAUCAUCUUCUGUGGAUGGCCAAUAGUUUUAAAAUUGGCAUUUUAUGAAGUAAUGUUUCCAGACGACCACGCUUAAUGUAUGACGACAAUUGAUUGGAGAUUUUAAAGAUAAUGUAACUAAAGUGUUCAAUGUGAAAGAUUUCCAAAGAAAUUAUCAGUAUGUUCCAAGUAUAAAGUCCUAACAUUGUAUUAUGCUCUUAAUUAUUCUGUUUUAAAGGUAGGGAAAAAAUAAAGAAAUGAUGCUAUUUAUGUAUUAUAAAUUAUUUUGUCUUGUUAUAACAGUGUCGUAAAAUUAUAAAUUUUAUAUUUUCUGU